GAUGAACGCUGACAGAAUGCUUAACACAUGCAAGUCGACUCGAGUCUCCGGACUUGGGUGGCGCACGGGUGAGUAACGCGUAAAGAACUUGCCUCUUAGACCGGGACAACAUCUAGAAAUGUCUGAUAAUACCGGAUAUUAUUGUUACAUGGCAUCAUGUAGGAAUGAAAGGAUAAGAUUGCUAGAGGAGAGCUUUGCAUCCUAUUAGCUAGUUGGUAAGGUAGCGGCUUACCAAGGCGAUGAUAGGUAGCCGGCCUGAGAGGGUGGACGGCCACAAGGGGACUGAGAUACGGCCCUU
rnacentral:rRNA from 1 species